GAGUUUGAUCCUGGCUCAGGAUGAACGCUGGCGGCGUGCCUAACACAUGCAAGUCGAGCGAUGAAGCCCUUCGGGGUGGAUUAGCGGCGGACGGGUGAGUAACACGUGGGUAACCUGCCUUGUAGAGGGGGAUAGCCUUCCGAAAGGAAGAUUAAUACCGCAUAACAUCUUUUUAUCGCAUGGUAGAAAGAUCAAAGGAGCAAUCCGCUACAAGAUGGACCCGCGGCGCAUUAGCUAGUUGGUGAGGUAACGGCUCACCAAGGCGACGAUGCGUAGCCGACCUGAGAGGGUGAUCGGCCACAUUGGAACUGAGACACGGUCCAGACUCCUACGGGAGGCAGCAGUGGGGAAUAUUGCGCAAUGGGGGAAACCCUGACGCAGCAACGCCGCGUGAAUGAAGAAGGCCUUAGGGUUGUAAAGUUCUGUUUACGGGGACGAUAAUGACGGUACCCGUGGAGGAAGCCACGGCUAACUACGUGCCAGCAGCCGCGGUAAUACGUAGGUGGCAAGCGUUGUCCGGAUUUACUGGGCGUAAAGGAUGCGUAGGCGGAUGUUUAAGUGAGAUGUGAAAUACCCGGGCUCAACUUGGGUGCUGCAUUUCAAACUGGACAUCUAGAGUGCGGGAGAGGAAAGCGGAACUCCUAGUGUAGCGGUGAAAUGCGUAGA
rnacentral:rRNA from 1 species